rnacentral:rRNA from 1 species
UACGUAGGGGGCAAGCGUUGUCCGGAUUUAUUGGGCGUAAAGAGCGUGUAGGCGGUUCGGUAGGUCCGUUGUGAAAACUCGAGGCUCAACCUCGAGACGCCGAUGGAAACCAUCGAACUAGAGUCCGGAAGAGGAGAGUGGAAUUCCUGGUGUAGCGGUGAAAUGCGCAGAUAUCAGGAAGAACACCCGUGGCGAAGGCGGCUCUCUGGUACGUGACUGACGCUGAGACGCGAAAGCGUGGGGAGCAAACAGG